GGGGAGGUGGCUCAGUAGUUAAGAACACUGACUGCUGUUCCAGAGGACCUGGGUUCAAUUCCCAGCACCCACA
rfam:Cricetulus griseus cell line CHO-K1, whole genome shotgun sequence.